CAAUAGCGUAUAUUAAAGUUGUUGCGGUAAAAAAGCUCGUAGUUGGAUUUCUGUUGAGAGCGACCGGUCCAUACCAUGUAUGCGUAUCUGGCUUGCUCUCGGCAUCCUCUCGAUAGACGUUACUGCGCUUGAUUGCGCGGUGCGGAUCUCGGGACUUUUACUUUGAGGAAAUUAGAGUGUUCACGGCAGGCUUUCGCCAGAAUACAUUAGCAUGGAAUAAUACUAUAGGAUCUUGGUUCUAUUUUGUUGGUUUCUAGAAUUGAGAUAAUGAUUAAUAGGGACAAUUGGGGGCAUUCGUAUCAACACGUCAGAGGUGGAAUUCUUGGAUUGUGUUGCGACGAACUACUGCGAAAGCAUUUGCCAAGGAUGUUUUCAUUGA
rnacentral:rRNA from 1 species